UGCUGGAGGUAUCAGAAGUGCGAAUGCUGACAUAAGUAACGAUAAAGCGGGUGAAAAGCCCGCUCGCCGGAAGACCAAGGGUUCCUGUCCAACGUUAAUCGGGGCAGGGUGAGUCGACCCCUAAGGCGAGGCCGAAAGGCGUAGUCGAUGGGAAACAGGUUAAUAUUCCUGUACUUGGUGUUACUGCGAAGGGGGGACGGAGAAGGCUAUGUUGGCCGGGCGACGGUUGUCCCGGUUUAAGCGUGUAGGCUGGUUUUCCAGGCAAAUCCGGAAAAUCAAGGCUGAGGCGUGAUGACGAGGCACUACGGUGCUGAAGCAACAAAUGCCCUGCUUCCAGGAAAAGCCUCUAAGCAUCAGGUAACAUCAAAUCGUACCCCAAACCGACACAGGUGGUCAGGUAGAGAAUACCAAGGCGCUUGAGAGAACUCGGGUGAAGGAACUAGGCAAAAUGGUGCCGUAACUUCGGGAGAAGGCACGCUGAUAUGUAGGUGAAGCGACUUGCUCGUGGAGCUGAAAUCAGUCGAAGAUACCAGCUGGCUGCAACUGUUUAUUAAAAACACAGCACUGUGCAAACACGAAAGUGGACGUAUACGGUGUGACGCCUGCCCGGUGCCGGAAGGUUAAUUGAUGGGGUUAGCGGUAACGCGAAGCUCUUGAUCGAAGCCCCGGUAAACGGCGGCCGUAACUAUAACGGUCCUAAGGUAGCGAAAUUCCUUGUCGGGUAAGUUCCGACCUGCACGAAUGGCGUAAUGAUGGCCAGGCUGUCUCCACCCGAGACUCAGUGAAAUUGAACUCGCUGUGAAGAUGCAGUGUACCCGCGGCAAGACGGAAAGACCCCGUGAACCUUUACUAUAGCUUGACACUGAACAUUGAGCCUUGAUGUGUAGGAUAGGUGGGAGGCUUUGAAGUGUGGACGCCAGUCUGCAUGGAGCCGACCUUGAAAUACCACCCUUUAAUGUUUGAUGUUCUAACGUUGGCCCCUGAUCGGGGUUGCGGACAGUGUCUGGUGGGUAGUUUGACUGGGGCGGUCUCCUCCUAAAGAGUAACGGAGGAGCACGAAGGUUGGCUAAUCCUGGUCGGACAUCAGGAGGUUAGUGCAAUGGCAUAAGCCAGCUUGACUGCGAGCGUGACGGCGCGAGCAGGUGCGAAAGCAGGUCAUAGUGAUCCGGUGGUUCUGAAUGGAAGGGCCAUCGCUCAACGGAUAAAAGGUACUCCGGGGAUAACAGGCUGAUACCGCCCAAGAGUUCAUAUCGACGGCGGUGUUUGGCACCUCGAUGUCGGCUCAUCACAUCCUGGGGCUGAAGUAGGUCCCAAGGGUAUGGCUGUUCGCCAUUUAAAGUGGUACGCGAGCUGGGUUUAGAACGUCGUGAGACAGUUCGGUCCCUAUCUGCCGUGGGCGCUGGAGAACUGAGGGGGGCUGCUCCUAGUACGAGAGGACCGGAGUGGACGCAUCACUGGUGUUCGGGUUGUCAUGCCAAUGGCACUGCCCGGUAGCUAAAUGCGGAAGAGAUAAGUGCUGAAAGCAUCUAAGCACGAAACUUGCCCCGAGAUGAGUUCUCCCUGACUCCUUGAGAGUCCUGAAGGAACGUUGAAGACGACGACGUUGAUAGGCCGGGUGUGUAAGCGCAGCGAUGCGUUGAGCUAACCGGUACUAAUGAACCGUGAGGCUUAACCUUACAACGCCGAAG
rnacentral:rRNA from 1 species